rnacentral:lncRNA from 1 species
UGAAAUCUUUAAUGUAAAAUGCUUCUUCACUGUUUAUCAUGACGUUAUUUCUAGACUCUCUGUACUCUGACCCAUGUUUACUUUGUCUCCAUCUGCUGGUAGAAUCCAGAGUGACAGUGGUAUUCAGUGGCGUAAGUGUUGGGGGGAGUGUUGUGUUUGUAUGAAGGUGUGUGCUAGCAGGUCCCAGGUGUCUUUUUAGUCAUUUCAUUUUAGUCUUUUAGUCUUUAAAAACGUGAGGUCAGUCCUGAUCCGGUCCUUUUGGGAUGAUUAAACAUUCCAGUCAUUAAGUCACAGCAUCUGCUCACGUAAACAGCUGCAGCCAUUUGCUGAAAUCAUUUCAGUUAUUUUUUGUACACACAGCACCCCAUGUUGACAGGAAAACAUUUCUGCAGAUGAAAAAACAAAAAGUGAAAUAUGAUUCAGAUGGUUCUAACCUUCAGUCCAGCUGUGUCUGUGGACAUGAUGAGGAAAGACACACACCUGUCUGUAUAAGACCUUACAGCUCACAGUGCAUGUUAGAGCACAUGUGACCCGCUGACAGUGAGUACAGUCUUCUCUCUGUACACCACACUCUCUGUUAUGAUUGUCUUCACACCUCAGUGCGAGUAUUUGGGUUUUUACUGACCUGACCUUUGACCUCUCUGACCUCACAAAGAGGGCAGAGUCCAAAGGUCAGCACCAGUUCCUCUUGAACACACCAUAAACCAGCUGAUAGACUGAUGAUCUUUAUUCUUUGAUUGAUCCCAAACUGGGAAAUUUUUUAAUCUGAGCCAACAGUCUGUUUAAACCUGUUCAGAGUUCCUAGGAAGUCAUGUGACCACAGAGGCUCCUCCUAUGAUGAAGUAUAAACACCCUGAACACUGACUGCUCUCUGCUUCGUCACAGAAACCAACAACACAGGUGUGAGCUCUGCUAUGAGUCAGUGUGAGGACAGAGAGGAGGGAGUCCCUCCCUCUAAAAGCCCUCUGUGUGGGGACCAUGAGAGCCGGACCAAAGCUCAGAGAACAAAGCAGCAGCACACUGCACACUCUGCUGGACCUGGACCUGGACCUGGACCUGGACCUGGACCUGGACCUGGACCUGGACCUGGGCCUGGACCUGGGCCUGGACCUGGACCUGCCAGCUGUGUGUCCAUGAAGAGUGAUCAGUCAAAGGAUUAUCCCAUUAAUU